AUGCACCUGUUCGACCUUCGCCGUUCAGGAAUGCAUUUCAAUGGGUGUUGGAAUGUUGCCGUAGAGGUGGAAAAUUACUGUGUACAAGGCUGCAUUUGCCACACGGAACCAGAAGUUGAGGUCGUUCUGAUGUGGGCUCUGACAAGAGUGGACAUCGUCAACUACACAGGGACUCCAGCUCAACUUUAUGUUGUCGAGCAGCUAUUGGCAAGGGCGCCGAGGAUUAGAUUGUUGACAAUAAUAAUCUCGGAGGCUGAGGAUCCUUCACUGGGCAACAUUGAAAGCUUAUGCCCUGCAGGUUGUCUGCUUGAGCUUGUACGGUGUUAG
rnacentral:rRNA from 1 species